GCGGGGAUGGCCCAGCCUGGUACGGCGCAGGGUUGCUAACCCUGUGGGCGUUAUGCCCGCGCGAGUUCGAAUCUCGCUCCCCGCG
rnacentral:tRNA from 1 species